GCUGGCCAAGUGUGUCACCCUAGUAGAGGCCGAGGGGAGCCAUAGCCCCUUGAGAUUUCCUGUAGGGCCUCACUGUGCCUAGUGUAUCUCUUGGUUCAGUGUUGGAAUGUGUUUUUGAAUGAGGAGGGAGAACAUUGACAAGCAAUCUAUCUAUAUUGUAUACCAGGGUGGCCCAGAUAAGGCACUGCACACAAACACCAUCAUCGUUCACCCUCUUAGCCCCAUUGGCCAGUGGUGGAAAGGAAGAAUCUUGUGGACUGCCAUAGGAGAGAAACAUGAGCAAAAAAUCAGGUGUGAGGAGAGUUCAAGGUUUUACAGUGAGAAUAUUUUUUUGGAAAAUGAAGGAAGAGAUGAAGUGAAAAGCAGAAUGUAGAUGAAGAACAGACUGUGUGAAGGGUGAAGCAAAGACUGCCUUCCAAACCACACCAGGAAUCAGAACUGCUCUCUGUCUAGUUAUUGUGUUUUGAACUGUCUCCUUUGAAUGAGUAGAGAGGUGGUGUUUGUGACGGAAGGUAUUUUGCUUCAAUAAACAGUAAAACAUUCUGAGAAGAUAGAGUGUGAAAAGGGGCACUUCACUAUUUUCUAUACCAUCUCCCAGUGUGCACAAGAACACAAUGCUAGAUGUUGUCCUUAUAACUGUUUUGUACUUUUACACCAUUAAGAGGAACAACAAGGAUUAUGAGAUGGACUGGGUUGUGUUCUGUGUGGCUCUACUCCAUCUGGUGGUUGCUCCCUUCACUAAGGUCGAGGAGAGCUUUAACCUUCAGGCCUGCCAUGACCUGCUGUUCAAGGGUGUCCAUCUAGAGGAAUAUGACCACCUGGAAUUUCCUGGAGUGGUGCCCCGGACCUUUGUGGGGCCCAUUGUUGUGUCAACACUGGCCUACCCUGUGGUUGCUCUCUCUAGGCUGCUCGGAUUCUCAAAAUUCUUUGCCCAGUAUGUUGUGAGAGCAGUGCUGGGGCUGCUGGUGGUUCUGGCCUGGAGAAGGUUCCGCAAGCAGCUGGAGAAGCUCUUUGGCCCGUCUGUCACCAUCUGGUUCACUCUCAUCACUGCCUCACAGUUCCACUUCAUGUACUACCUGAGUCGCCCAUUGCCAAACACAUUUGCUCUCGUGUCUGCACUCCUUGCCUUUUCCUACUGGCUGGAGCAAAAACAUGCACACCUGAUAUGGACAUCUGCUGUUGCCGUGUUGAUAUUCCGAUCCGAACUCUGUCUUCUCCUGGGGACAAUGGUGCUGGCAGACUUGUCAACACAGAGACUGCAGCUCCUGCCGUUCAUGAAGAAUGCAAUCCCUGCUGGACUUUGUUGUCUAGGCACUACCAUCGCUGUGGACUCUCUCUUCUGGGGCCGUUUGCUGUGGCCAGAGGGGGAAGUGUUCUGGUUCAACACAUACAAGAACCAGAGUGGGAACUGGGGUAGCUCCCCCAUCUUGUGGUACUGGUACUCAGCACUGCCCCGGGCCAUGGCCUCCAGCCUCUUCCUUGUGCCCUUUGGUGUUGCCCUGGACAAACGCCUGCAGAUCCUCAUCACGCCCUGUAUCAUAUUUGUCUGCCUGUACUCCCUCCUGCCACACAAGGAACUUCGGUUCAUCAUGUACAUCUUCCCAAUUUUGAAUGCUGCUGCUGCCAAGGCCUGCCAUUUCUUCUGGAUGGGGCGAGAAAAGUCUGGGAGCCGGCAGCUGGUGGCGAUCGGGUGUGUGAUACACCUGGUGGUGAACUCGGCCUUCACCACACUGCUGCUCACCAUCUCGGCCAACAACUACCCCGGCGGCACGGCCAUGAUGAGGCUGCACAAGAUAGUGCCGUCAGACACUAAUGUGUACAUCCACAUUGACAACUUUGCUGCCCAGACUGGUGUGUCCCGCUUCACACAGCUCAACGACCACUGGAGAUACAACAAAACGGAGCAGCUCAAGGCGGGCAGUAGGGACAUGAGGUCCUUCUCACACCUACUGGUGGAGGCAAAGUCCAAGUACUCAUACAAUCUUAAGCACUACACAUCCUCCCAUGAAGUUAUGUCCUCAGUGGAGGCCUUCUCUCAUCUCAGCUUCAAUUACCAGCAGUUUCCACCAGUGAAGGUAAGAGUCAAGCCAGCACUCUUCAUCUUGAAAAACCUUGAGAAUGAAAAUGUGGACUGGUCAUGGAUGCACACCAGUCCAGAAGACCUUGAGGAACCUGAGGAGGAAAUGUUAUCAGAGAUGGCUUCAGCACAGCCUUCUGUGGAGGAAGAACCCAUACCAGACGAGCUGCUUCAGGCUGUGGAACCAGAAGAGCAGGAGCAGUAUCUCUUUACCAAAGCAACAGAACGAGAGAUACAGGAAAGUGAGACACCUUACAUGGAUGGCAGUGAGGACGGAGAGGAUGAAAUAGAACCAACUGUGACUGAGACACUGAGAGAAGCCGAAACUGAGGAUGAAUCAGAUGACAAAGAAUAUGAUAUCCCUACAGAACCAAAGCUUCCCGAGACUGGCUGCUUCAGGCCUGAGGGAGGAGGUGAGCCAAGCAUUCCAGGAGCUGAGGAAGACAAUCCUGAGAGUUGCCUGCCGACCCAGAUGGGCUGAAAACAUUAAGUCAAGAAGAAAGACCCCUUGAAGACUCUCAAACUGUGGACCAAAGUGAGGAGGAGGAGGGAGGAGGAGGGAAGGAGACGAGUAACUUGAUGGACCGACUGCCGAUCUCCUCAUUAACUGUGUGCUCUGUGAGUGGCAAGUGUGUGUGAUUGUGUGCGUGUCUGUGUGUGACAGCCUGUAACAUAGCAUGUGGUGAGUAACAAGCUGUAAUGUCCAUUCAAGUUACCUAAGUUGGACCCUGUGUGAUAUUAUGACAAAAACUUUAUUGUUGAA
rnacentral:misc_RNA from 1 species